rnacentral:rRNA from 1 species
UACGUAGGGGGCUAGCAUUGUCCGGAAUCAUUGGGCGUAAAGCGCGCGUAGGCGGCCAGAUAAGUCCGGUGUGAAAGUCACAGGCUCAACCUGUGAAUGCCGCUGGAAACUGUCUGGCUCGAGUCCGGGAGGGGCGAGUGGAAUUCCUGGUGUAGCGGUGAAAUGCGCAGAUAUCAGGAAGAACACCCGUGGCGAAGGCGGCUCUCUGGUACGUGACUGACGCUGAGACGCGAAAGCGUGGGGAGCAAACAGG